rnacentral:rRNA from 1 species
GGUUAAGUGACUAAGCGUACAGGGCGGAUGCCUUGGCAAUCAGAGGCGAUGAAGGACGUGCUAAUCUGCGAAAAGCUUGGAUGAGUCGAUAAGAGGCGUUUAAUCCAAGAUAUCCGAAUGGGGAAACCCAGUAGAUGAAGAAUCUACUAUCAAUAAAUGAAUACAUAGUUUAUUGAGGCGAACCGGGAGAACUGAAACAUCUAAGUACCCCGAGGAAAAGAAAUCAACCGAGAUUCUGUGAGUAGCGGCGAGCGAAAGCGGAAGAGCCAGUAAGUUUUAGCUAGCGUAUUAGAGGAAUUGGCUGGGAAGCCAAAUCAAAGAGGGUGAUAAUCCCGUACUCGAAAGUAUGGUAGUGGAACUAAGCUUACGAUAAGUAAGGCGGGACACGAGAAAUCCUGUUUGAAGAUGGGGGGACCAUCCUCCAAGGCUAAAUACUCCUGAUUGACCGAUAGUGAACCAGUACUGUGAAGGAAAGGCGAAAAGAACCCCGGUGAGGGGAGUGAAAUAGAACCUGAAACCCUGUACGUACAAGCAGUAGGAGCGAGGGCAACCUUGUGACUGCGUACCUUUUGUAUAAUGGGUCAGCGACUUAUAUUUUGUAGCGAGGUUAACUGAAUAAGGGAGCCGAAGGGAAACCGAGUCUUAACUGGGCGUUGAGUUGCAAGGUAUAGACCCGAAACCCGGUGAUCUAGCCAUGGGCAGGUUGAAGGUUGGGUAACACUAACUGGAGGACCGAACCGACUAAUGUUGAAAAAUUAGCGGAUGACUUGUGGCUGGGGGUGAAAGGCCAAUCAAACCGGGAGAUAGCUGGUUCUCCCCGAAAUCUAUUUAGGUAGAGCCUUGAGCGGACACCUUCGGGGGUAGAGCACUGUUUCGGCUAGGGGUCCAUCCCGGAUUACCAACCCGAUGCAAACUGCGAAUACCGAAGAGUGAUACUCAGGAGACACACGGCGGGUGCUAACGUUCGUCGUGGAGAGGGAAACAACCCAGACCGCCAGCUAAGGUCCCCAAGUCUAUAUUAAGUGGGAAACGAAGUGGGAAGGCUUAGACAGCUAGGAUGUUGGCUUAGAAGCAGCCAUCAUUUAAAGAAAGCGUAAUAGCUCACUAGUCGAGUCGGCCUGCGCGGAAGAUGUAACGGGGCUCAAAUAUAGCACCGAAGCUGCGGCAUCAGAAUUUAUUCUGUUGGGUAGGGGAGCGUUGUGUAAGCGGAUGAAGGUGGCUCGAGAGGGUUGCUGGACGUAUCACAAGUGCGAAUGCUGACAUAAGUAACGAUAAAACGAGUGAAAAACUCGUUCGCCGGAAGACCAAGGGUUCCUGUCCAACGUUAAUCGGGGCAGGGUGAGUCGGCCCCUAAGGCGAGGCUGAAAAGCGUAGUCGAUGGGAAACGGGUUAAUAUUCCCGUACUUGGUAAAGCUGCGAUGUGGGGACGGAGAAGGUUAGGUAAGCGGACUGUUGGAUAUGUUCGUUUAAGCAGGUAGUUGGAAAGGGUAGGCAAAUCCGCUCUUUCAUACAACAACGAGACGUGAUGACGAGGCUCUACGGAGCUGAAGUUACCGAUACCCGGCUUCCAGGAAAAGCCACUAAGCGAAAGGCUUUACUAAACCGUACUGAAAACCGACACAGGUGGUCAGGUAGAGAAUACUCAGGCGCUUGAGAGAACUCGGGUGAAGGAACUAGGCAAAAUAGCACCGUAACUUCGGGAGAAGGUGCGCUUACAGUAAUUGUAGUCCCUUGCGGAUGAAGGUGAAGUAAGUCGAAGAUACCAGCUGGCUGCAACUGUUUAUUAAAAACACAGCACUCUGCAAACACGAAAGUGGACGUAUAGGGUGUGAUGCCUGCCCGGUGCUGGAAGGUUAAUUGAUGGUGUUAUCGAAAGAGAAGCUCCUGAUCGAAGCCCCAGUAAACGGCGGCCGUAACUAUAACGGUCCUAAGGUAGCGAAAUUCCUUGUCGGGUAAGUUCCGACCUGCACGAAUGGCAUAAUGAUGGCCAGGCUGUCUCCACCCGAGACUCAGUGAAAUUGAAAUCGCCGUGAAGAUGCGGUGUACCCGCGGCUAGACGGAAAGACCCCGUGAACCUUUACUAUAGCUUGACACUGAACAUUGAAUUUUGAUGUGUAGGAUAGGUGGGAGCCUUUGAAGCAGUGACGCCAGUCAUUGUGGAGGCGACCUUGAAAUACCACCCUUUAACGUUUGAUGUUCUAACGAAGUGCCUGAAACGGGUACUCGGACAGUGUCUGGUGGGUAGUUUGACUGGGGCGGUCUCCUCCCAAAGCGUAACGGAGGAGCACGAAGGUUUGCUAAUGACGGUCGGACAUCGUCAGGUUAGUGCAAUGGUAUAAGCAAGCUUAACUGCGAGACAGACAAGUCGAGCAGGUGCGAAAGCAGGUCAUAGUGAUCCGGUGGUUCUGAAUGGAAGGGCCAUCGCUCAACGGAUAAAAGGUACUCCGGGGAUAACAGGCUGAUACCGCCCAAGAGUUCAUAUCGACGGCGGUGUUUGGCACCUCGAUGUCGGCUCAUCACAUCCUGGGGCUGAAGUAGGUCCCAAGGGUAUGGCUGUUCGCCAUUUAAAGUGGUACGCGAGCUGGGUUUAGAACGUCGUGAGACAGUUCGGUCCCUAUCUGCCGUGGGCGUUGGAUGAUUGAUUGGGGCUGCUCCUAGUACGAGAGGACCGGAGUGGACGCAUCACUGGUGUUCCAGUUGUCUCGCCAGAGGCAUUGCUGGGUAGCUAAAUGCGGAAGAGAUAAGUGCUGAAAGCAUCUAAGCACGAAACUUGCCAAGAGAUGAGUCAUCCCUGACUUUAAGUCAGUAAGGGUUGUUGUAGACUACGACGUAGAUAGGUUGGGUGUGUAAGUGUAGUGAUACAUUGAGCUAACCAAUACUAAUUGCCCGAGAGGCUUAACCAU